CUUAUACACACCUACAGAGUAAAUUUAAUUUCUGUAUGGCUCUAAACACUUUGGGUAAAUUUUUUCUCAGUUUUUGUUUUUUAUUAGUACACAUUUGCAUUACAUAAUGAUUGCAUUCCUUGUAGGGAGUUGGUACAUGUACAAAACACACCUCAAUUCCUUUUGUUCAUCCUCUUUCCCUGCCUUUCUUCUCACUCUUUUUAAAAAUUAAGAAGCUCACUAAUUUAAAUAAUAGAGAUAAAAAUACGGUAUUUAUGAGAACACAAAUUUUAGGCUUUUCUGAUGUCCAUAAAAUACAUUAUAUGUGUGUGUGUACGUGCAGAAUAUAUAAAAUAAUAUACAACUCUUUUUUCAUGAACAGGAAGUUCCCUAGUGUAAAGCAGUUGACGGUCUCUGGCAUUGCCUUAACUGUGCCUUUCUCGGUUGGACAAGAAGCCAGUACAUUGACCCUCCUACCUGCUUACCCUGGUGAAGGAAAAUAUGGGAAAUACCACUGGCUGCAGCAGCAGUUCUUUGAAUCAGAAUGUCCGCUAGCCUUGCAGAGAAAUCUAAGACUAGAUGCCAAAGUAGAGAAAUUGGCCAUUAAUGGGCCAAGUGAGAGCUUCUGAGGGCAAGGGAUGAAGGUCAGUGGCACCACGCCUGCCUGGCAAGGACAAGGUCCUGAGUUCAAUCCCUGGUACUGGAAAAAACUCUGGUACCAGAAAACAAAAUUAUAUCUCUUCUACCGCAAAAGAUUGGCAGGAACAUUGAGUGACCUUAUUCUCCUCAAGUAACAACCUGCACGGUACUUUUGUAUUUAUCAUGUGGGUAAUAAAUGGCCGUUGUAGAAGUCUUAACUAAUUUAUUAGCAGG
rnacentral:lncRNA from 1 species